rnacentral:rRNA from 1 species
UACGUAGGGUGCGAGCGUUAAUCGGAAUUACUGGGCGUAAAGCGUGCGCAGGCGGUGAUGUAAGACAGAUGUGAAAUCCCCGGGCUCAACCUGGGAACUGCAUUUGUGACUGCAUCGCUGGAGUGCGGCAGAGGGGGAUGGAAUUCCGCGUGUAGCAGUGAAAUGCGUAGAUAUGUGGAGGAACACCGAUGGCGAAGGCAGCCCCCUGGGCUAGUACUGACGCUCAUGCACAAAAGCGUGGGGAGCAAACAGG